UCUAUAUGUCAAGUACCAAUUGACGAUGACCAGACCACAAAUGUUCUUGGUGGGAAAGGGAGCAGCGGGAUAAAUAGUGCCAGUGAUAUACGUGGUGAUAAUAUAAUUACCUCUCCCGGGGACAGAGUGCAUAUCGAAUGCAGACGUCUUUACUGUAACGCAAAUGUUAUAAACGAGAUGCCAAAAAUUCGAAGGACGAUAUCACAGUACUCUUGAUAAAGAAAAAUACACAGACGCAUUUUAUGAGUGAGUUGGGACCAUCAGAAGAAUACCCCGAUCCUUUGCCAGCUAAUGGAGGAGAAAUAAAAAGUGCCGCCUUCAUUGGAGACUCAGGCAUUCUGUUGGACACAGCACUGAACUGAGCAAUGAUAUGGGGGAUCCCCAGCCCACUUCAGUCCCAGUUAACACUCCAGACAGUACUGGCCAUGUAGCAGCACCACAGCAAGAACAUGAUCUUGUACAAACUGAUGUCCAAGGAACAUCUUUGGAACUGCUAUCAGCAGCAGCUGAAAUCAAGAGGCU
rnacentral:misc_RNA from 1 species